rnacentral:rRNA from 1 species
AAAGGAAUAGACGGGGACCCGCACAAGCGGUGGAGCAUGUGGCUUAAUUCGAUGCAACGCGAAGAACCUUACCUGGACUUGACAUGCAAGUAGUAGAACCCUGAAAGGGGGACGAUCCCGCGCAAGCGGGAAGCUUGCACAGGUGCUGCAUGCCUGUCGUCAGCUCGUGCCGUGAGGUGUUGGGUUAAGUCCCGCAACGAGCGCAACCCUUGUGAUUAGUUGCCAUUAUUAAGUUAGGCACUCUAGUCAGACUGCCUGUGAUAAGCAGGAGGAAGGUGGGGAUGACGUCAAGUAAGUAUGGUCCUUAUGUCCAGGGCUGCACACGUGCUACAAUGGCCGGUACAGAAGGAAGCAAUACCGCGAGGUGGAGCUAAUCCCCAAAACCGGCCUCAGUUCGGAUUGGAGUCUGCAACCCGACUCCAUGAAGCUGGAAUCGCUAGUAACGGCGCAUCAGCUACGGCGCCGUGAAUACGUUCCCGGGUCUUGUACACACCGCCCGU